rnacentral:lncRNA from 1 species
CAGCCCACCCGCCCAGGGCCGAAUCACUCACUGGACCCGCCUCAGGUGAAGAAACUGUGCAACAUGCCCAGAUCAUACAACAAGGAAGUAAUGGAAUUGAGAUUCUAUCCUGGGCGCCAAGCCAUUGCUCUAAAUCUCUAUGCUGCACAAGAUACAGCUGAGUAAAGAUUAGUAACAACAAAAAAAAACAACAAAAAAAGACAAGUCCCAGGGAAGGUUCCUGUGAGUCUUUAUGAUCCACUGGCCAUAAAUUAGAGAGAGGCAAUGAAGACUAAAUGCGGAGAGAUCCAGUUUGCUUCCUAGUCUUAGUACAUUGCCAUCUAGGCAUGAGUAGUCUCCUUGUCUCCGUUGUCUGAGAAUGCUAUCCUCUGGCUCUGAGGUCCAGAGCCACUAAGAGAGAAUGCUGACUUGAUGUCAGAAAAUCAAGACAAGGUCUAGUUUAAUUAUGGAACAUGAAACAAAAACUUUACUCCUCUUUUGAAGUAAAAAUGCAAAUCUGUUCCGUUUUAGAGUGGGAUUUCCC